rnacentral:rRNA from 1 species
UGGGGAAUUUUGGACAAUGGGCGAAAGCCUGAUCCAGCAAUGCCGCGUGUGUGAAGAAGGCCUUUGGGUUGUAAAGCACUUUUGUCCGGAAAGAAAUCCUUGGCUCUAAUACAGUCGGGGAUGACGGUACCGGAAGAAUAAGCACCGGCUAACUACGUGCCAGCAGCCGCGGUAAUACGUAGGGUGCAAGCGUUAAUCGGAAUUACUGGGCGUAAAGCGUGCGCAGGCGGUUUGCUAAGACCGAUGUGAAAUCCCGGGCUCAACCUGGGAACUGCAUUGGUGACUGGCAGGCUAGAGUAUGGCAGAGGGGGGUAGAAUUCCACGUGUAGCAGUGAAAUGCGUAGAGAUGUGGAGGAAUACCGAUGGCGAAGGCAGCCCCCUGGGCCAAUACUGACGCUCAUGCACGAAAGCGUGGGGAGCAAACAGGAUUAGAUACCCUGGUAGUCCACGCCCUAAAACGAUGUCAACUAGUUGUUGGGGAUUCAUUUCCUUAGUAACGUAGCUAACGCGUGAAGUUGACCGCCUGGGGAGUACGGUCGCAAGAUUAAAACUCAAAUGAAUUGACGGGGUCAUAGCUGUUUCCU